GAUGAAGAACGCAGCGAAAUGCGAUAAGUAGUGUGAAUUGCAGAAUUCAGUGAAUCAUCGAAUCUUUGAACGCACAUUGCGCCCUUUGGUAUUCCAAAGGGCAUGCCUGUUCGAGCGUCAUCUGUACCCUCAAGCUUUGCUUGGUGUUGGGCGUCUUGUCUCUAGCUUUGCUGGAGACUCGCCUUAAAGUAAUUGGCAGCCGGCCUACUGGUUUCGGAGCGCAGCACAAGUCGCACUCUCUAUCAGCAAAGGUCUAGCAUCCAUUAAGCCUUUUUUUCAACUUUUGACCUCGGAUCAGGUAGGGAUACCCGCUGAACUUAAGCAUAUCAAUAAGCGGAGGA
rnacentral:misc_RNA from 1 species